UGGGGAAUUUUCCGCAAUGGGCGAAAGCCUGACGGAGCGACGCCGCGUGGAGGAUGAAGGCUUUCGGGUUGUAAACUCCUUUCGGCAGGGACGAAAUUUUGACGGUACCUGCAAAAGAAGCAUCGGCUAACUACGUGCCAGCAGCCGCGGUAAGACGUAGGAUGCAAGCGUUGUUCGGAUUUAUUGGGCGUAAAGCGUACGUAGGCGGUCCGGUAAGUGGGAGGUUAAAGACCAGAGCUCAACUCUGGGAGUGCCCCCCAAACUAUCGGACUCGAGGACCAUAGGGGAAGGUGGAAUUCCGAGUGUAGCGGUGAAAUGCGUAGAUAUUCGGAGGAACACCGGUGGCGAAAGCGACCUUCUGGGUGGUAUCUGACGCUGAGGUACGAAAGCGUGGGGAGCAAACAG
rnacentral:rRNA from 1 species